ensembl:lncRNA
GGCGUUGAUAAUUUCAUUUGUUUAGAAGCAUUAGUCCCGCCUUCCAAGCAUCGGACCAUGAGCACGCAUUAGCUAGGUCUUUCACACGCAAAUGAGAGAGGCUGCAGAUGGUCCGGGCGGAAUUAUUGCUCGAUUUGACACCAGGCCCGACGAAUGGGACGUCGUGUAAGUCAACAAUAAACCACAACACCAAUAUAAAGAUUUUUCUCUCUACAAACUUUAGAUGAUCUGUCACAUGAAUUAUCAUUUCAGUCAUUAGGCCGGCGGUCAUACCACCACCAUUAAAAAAGGCCGACCCGGUCGCCCGGUAAGUUAUAAAAUGCAGAGGAUCAAAAAUUAAAAAGACUGCCACUUCUGUUUGAAACUCACACUGGAAAUAAUGUGGAAAUAUGAUUCUAGAGGCUCUUGAUAGGUUUCAUCACUCUGACCUCUUCACAUUUGAUAAAUAUCAUCAUUAAUUCCCUCUUACCUUUGCUGUUUUGUUUCCACCACAAUAAACUCACACUUCCUGCACAGCUCUCUCUCUCUCAGUGGACUCAGAGAACAGUUUCCCAUCUCAAAUCUCUGUUUUCUGCAUUAUUCGCUUGCUAAUUAUGUACCAGUCUACUGUUGUGUACAGGCCGUUGUUUUUUUCUUUUCUUCAAAAUGACCCUUGACAAGAAAGCUUCAUUUGUGCUGUUCAACACCAAAGAAAUUUAAUCUUUUUAAAAUGAUGGCACAUUGCAAAAUGCUCAGCUGUGUCUCUAAUAAAACCUGUAACUUUGCUCUGCUUCACAUCAGCAGCAUCAGGUAAUGUUCACCUGCUGAGUCAUGGUUUUCUUUGGUUUUUGUUCUACUGCAAAAUAUUUUAAGGUAAAUCUCCUUCAUGUUUCUUUUAUCCUCAGUUACUUUGACACAUCUGCUGUGAUGUUUACACAUCUGAUGAAGUCUCACAAGUGUCAGAACUGAUAAAUGAUCAGAAUUAUAAUAUUUCUGACUGACUGAGGCUAAAUUUCACAGAUUCAAUCGAAUCGAUUGUAGAAAUCAGUGAUGAGACCCAGCUCUAUUUCAUACAUAACUAAAGUUACCCACUGAUGAUAACUGAUGACAGUGUGCUCAGAUUGUUCUUGAAUGUGGAGCUUUCAAGUAUGUAUUCAGCACAAAAAGGUUUUCGUCAGCUUCAUUUAACUUGCAGUACUUCCUGUAACUUCUGUCAGUUAGACAGUAAUUAUGCCAAAUAAAGGACAGUAAUUUGAAUUGAUGACCCUCAUGCUGUAUAACAGUUCUGUAACAUUCUGUUUGCACUUCCUUCAGUCUGGAAAAAUCACACCCAUCAGAUUCACAUUGAUGUGAUAGUUACAUGUUUGCUCACUGGUUGUUCUCAUGUCUGCAGGUACCAGUGGUACCGUGAAAAGUGGACCCGCCAGCCGCCACCUGGGGAGGCCGACCACCGUGUCCUCCGGUGGGAGAUCCGGAUAUGUGUGGGACGGCUAGCCCAAGGUCUGAUCCCAACACCAGGCCCGACGAAUGGGACGUCGUUAAUUCGGCCAGCUGCAAUCCCCCACCCCUUGCCAAAGGCCGACCCGGUCGCCCGGUACCAGUGGUACCGGGAAAUAUGGAGGCGGCAGCUCCCACCCGGGGGAGGCGGACCGCCGUGUCCUUGGGUGGCAUAUCCGGGACCAAUUGGCCCGGGGUAUAGUCCCAUAAGGAUUUCUCCAGAAAACGGCAAGAAAAAACCCGCCAAAGUAAGUACCCAUGCAGUAGUAGCACCCAGAUUUUCAGUAUAAUGGUAUUUUGCAUUGCAUUGCUGUUCUGAUGCAGUUUUCUGUCUUCAUUUAUGUUGGAAGUGAUAAGUAGAGCCGUACGGCAAGCCCAAGGUCUGAUCCCAAUAAGUAUUUCCCCGGGUUUUUUAGUUUCCACCAGAUAAUUUUGUUACACGUUUACAGAACCUUGUUCUAUAUUAAUAUAAUCAUAAUAUAAUAUGAGUACAUGGGAAUACUAACUAUUAACUGUUCACUGUCUUUAUUAUAGACAGUGUACAGCUGGUAUUGUAUAUUUACUGUGAACAUGUUAAAAUAGUAAAACAACAACAGAGAAAAGAGACAAAAUGCAAGGAAAACAAAAUAAUAAUUAUAAAUAACUCAAAAGUUCAAAAAGGAGUAGGAAGAAGCAUAAUCAUGUUUAAUCCCGCCCCCUUUUCAAUAUUUAAUAACACUUUUUCUUCCAGUUUAGGCCCUAUCCAUCAUAAACUCUUCCUUACAAUUUGUUACAUGUUUGCUUUUAUUACCCCAGUAACACCUAAAACCAUAUACAAAUUUACAG